UUUUACAGGUGGCCUCUGCCUUCCCUGACCUAAGUGUGUAUUAAGUUCCUCUCCUUGGUGCUUCCCUAGCAUGGAACUUUCUCUACCAUCAUCUCCAUCACUCUUUUUUUUUUUUUUUUUUUUUUUUUAGACAAAGUUUUACUCUCGCGGGCCAGGCUGGAGUGCAGUGGUGCAAUCUUGGCUUACUACAACCUCCGCCUCCCAGGUUCAAGAAACUCUCCUGCUGUAGCCUUCUAAGAAUCUGGGAUUACAGGCACCUGCCUCCACACCCGGGCUUCCAUCUCAAGGUUACUUCAUGGCCCAAGACUUCUGUUGGAGCUCCAGCUGUUACAGCAGCAUCUCAGGGCUCUUCCCCACCCACUCUACGGGGCUGCUCUGUCCAUUCUCCAAGUCUCCACGUAAACGCCACUUCUCCUGGAACACCUUCACUGGUAUCUUGGACUGGAAGUUCUCAACCAGGAGGAACACACUCGCUUGCCCUCCUCAAUUCAGCCUUGGGAGAUAUUUUGCAAUAUCUGGAGAUGGUUUUGGUUGUUACAACUGGGAAUAGAAAAGAAGCUUGGGAUUCAGACAAAGUAAUUUUGAGUGUGACAACACAUUUAUCGCUUCUUAUAGCAUCAUUUUUCAAGUAUGACUACUGGAUUCCUUUGUUGCCACUCAAAAAUGAACCGCUGUCAAACUGGAUACAGUCAAAGGGUAGACUCUGA
rnacentral:lncRNA from 13 species